AGAUAUAUAUAUACAUUUAACCAAAGAUUCUUAGUAUCUUUUCUAUUGAUUAUAUACACAUAAAUAUAAUUGGCACAGGCAAAAGGCACUGCUCCACUUCUUCCACAGAGUUCAAAAAGAAGAUCAUCUGCCUGCAACUCUCCUACUCGGAGUUUCCCUUCUCUCGCCCGACGGGCAGAAGCAUCAAAUAAAGGCAGAUCUCAAGCAGGACCCAUCGAGACGGUACGCAAUCUAUUGUUCAGCUCUGGAGUAACAGCGCGACGCACCCACCGCAAAAAAGAUUCCUCCUCCACUGCACUGCCUCUCCCACUCACGAAAAGCUAAAACUUAGUCUUUCUGCUAAAUUCCAACGUGUACAGGGCCUGGCCGGAAGUGGGAAAAGGAGGGUGAAAAAGGUUCUGAGAGGAUGUGCCAUUUUCGUGGAGUCACAUUAAUUCCCAUCUUCGGAGUACAUCCUUGAGUAAGUAUAUAUGUGUCUCUCUAGUCUUGCAUGCAUGGCCCAUGCUGGGCUUCAGAGUUCAGACCAUCAAAAAAACAGGCUAUUAUAAUUGCAUGUGCAUUGCCUAACCUUUCCCAUAAACUUUUAUCUACCUUAAACAUAGGAGAGGAACCUUUAGAUAGCUGACAAUAUCAACUAAUCAGCUAUUCAGCUUGAAUGUAAUGGUCCUUUCAACUUAAUGCUUACAACUAAAAUUAAACAACACUAACAGUCAUCAUAUAGCUAAUGGUACAAGUCUCCUCAGGACGGUCUAAUCACAUAAAGUGUUGUUAUCA